GACGAACGUUGGCGGCGUGCUUAAUACAUGCAAGUCAACUGAAGCAGUGGUAGCAAUAUCGCUGUGGAGGUGGCGCACGGGUGAGUAACACGUAGGUAAUCUGCCUUCAGGUCUGGCAUAACUCCGGGAGACCGGGGCUAAUAGCAGAUGAUGCAGCGGCUCGACAUCGAGACAGUUGUUAAAGCUAUGGCGCCUGAAGAUGAGCCUGCGUCUGAUUAGCUAGUUGGCGGGGUAACGGCCCACCAAGGCAACGAUCAGUAGCUGGUCUGAGAGGAUGAUCAGCCACACUGGAACUGAGACACGGUCCAGACUCCUACGGGAGGCAGCAGUAAGGAAUAUUGCUCAAUGGGAGAAAUCCUGAAGCAGCAACGCCGCGUGAGGGACGAAGGGCUUUUGCUUGUAAACCUCUGUAGUGAGAGAAAAAAAUCCCAAUCUUUGGGACAUGAUGGUAUCUCAAAAGUAAGCCCCGGCUAACUACGUG
rnacentral:rRNA from 1 species